AGGGCUUGACAUCCCUAGAAUUUCUCCGAAAGGAGAGAGUGCUUUUUAAGAACUAGGUGACAGAUCCUGCAUGGCC
rnacentral:rRNA from 1 species